UUGGUGGUUGUGCUUCCCUGAGCCUCUAGUCAGCCAGUGUGAGGAAGGGACCAGAUGGGUCAGGCAGAAAGGUGCUGGGUCAAGGGAGGAGGGGACAGCCGGGGGCGGGCGCACGCUCUGGACUCGUGCACCCGCCAAAACGGAUGCGCGCGGGGCACGCCGGGUUGAAGGGUGAAGGGCGAGGAGAAACUAACAAUGAAAAUGGACUCGUUGAUGGAAGAAAAGUUGGAAUGCAGCCUCUGGUGCUGUGUGAGCGAUCCCUCUCUCCGGGGCCUGGCUGCGCGCUGCUGUGUUCUGGAAAGGCACAUUGUACCAUAGAUGCGGCAGGUAAGACCUGACUUCCUCCCCCUUGCCUUCCACCAUGCAUUGUGAGGCCUCCCCAGCCAUGUGGAACUGUAAGUCCAUUAAACUUACUUUUCUUCCCAAUCUCAGAUAUGUCUAUAUCAGCAGCAUCAAAAUGGACUAAUAUACCUGUUUUACAGCCAUUAGAUUCUAGGUAAGGCUUGGGACAUAGGGAGUUAGCAAGGUCCCCUGGGUAGGCUGGGAAGACUCAGACAUUAUCUUUAGCUCUGUCCUUGUCCUGGACUCUGCAGUCAUAUACAUGGUUAAAAUUGCUUGCUUACUAGGUUUUUCACCAAAAAUGAAAGUUGUUAAGAGUUAACAGUGUAAAAUGUACUUGAGACUACUGGAAACAGUUUUGCACGCACGAUAUAGAAGGAAAGUAAAUGUGGUUUUGGUCAGAAGUUAUAAGAAGGCAUAGGAAUAUGGCUUUUGUUAAAGGGAAUGUAAUAUUGUCAGUUCGGAGGGUUUUAAGGCUUGUCUUAACCAAAAAGAGUAAUAGGACAAAAUUGAAGGUUUACGCAAGUUGAAAAGGGUUGAUAUUUUAAAGAAAGUUCUGUGGUUAUGAACAAGUUGGCUAAGAUUUGAAGGGAAUUAUUUAGUUUUUUCAUAGGUGGAACAUUAAAAUAAAAUCACACUAAUUCAGGGCUGGAAUUUGGACCCAUGUGUCUGAAUAACAGAAUUUUCUUAGACAUUUGAUCUGUUUAACAGAAAAUUGUAAAGAGUUAAAGAGGUUUACAAAAAUUUUACCUUAUGGUCAAACUAAUUUAAGAUUGUAUAGACCUGUUUAUAAGGUUUUAUUAAGAAUUGGGCUUACUUACACUAAUGAAAAGGUUAAAUUUGACUUUCUCUUUUAAAUAAGAUUUUAGUGUAAUAUUAAAAGAUAAUGAAAGAUUUUUGUUUGCCUUUUGAAUAAAUGACAAAAGCAGGGGAGAAAAACAGAUUCAGUUGGUCUCAUGCUGUCUUUAUGGAAUCCUGUUUGAAAAGUUGAGUCUCCUCCCUAUCAGUGAGUAUCAUUUUGGCUAAAUAAAUAACUUAUAAUGACCUGGGAUCUUAUUUUGUAAUAUCAAGCUUUUAAACCUUUGAUAUUUUACAAACUUCUUUUUUUUGUUGUUUUUGGGUUUUGUUUUUUUGAG